CCUCCUCUCCGCCACCAGAAAAAAAGCCAUUCACAGGGGGUGCUGUGCAACUAAUUAAAGGCAGACUGGCAGCGUCUGCAAAUUCUAAGGCUCCCCAAAUAAAAAGCGACUGCUGCGGCGGCCGGAGC